CAGCAUGGGGAAUAUUGCACAAUGGGCGCAAGCCUGAUGCAGCCAUGCCGCGUGUGUGAAGAAGGCCUUCGGGUUGUAAAGCACUUUCAGUUGUGAGGAAGGUGGUGUCGUUAAUAGCGGCAUCAUUUGACGUUAGCAACAGAAGAAGCACCGGCUAACUCCGUGCCAGCAGCCGCGGUAAUACGGAGGGUGCGAGCGUUAAUCGGAAUUACUGGGCGUAAAGCGCAUGCAGGUGGUUUGUUAAGUCAGAUGUGAAAGCCCGGGGCUCAACCUCGGAACUGCAUUUGAAACUGGCAGACUAGAGUACUGUAGAGGGGGUAGAAUUUCAGGUGUAGCGGUGAAAUGCGUAGAGAUCUGAAGGAAUACCGGUGGCGAAGGCGGCCCCCUGGACAGAUACUGACACUCAGAUGCGAAAGCGUGGGGAGCAAACAGGAUUAGAUACCCUGGUAG
rnacentral:rRNA from 1 species